GGAAGUUGAUGCCUCACCUGUCUGUAGUCCUGGAGGUGGUUUCACACCUGUACGGUCAGCUCCUUGCGCAGUUUUGUUUCCAGGAACAGCCCCCACCUGUGCGAGGUUUUAUAUCGGCUAUGGACUGAGAGUGGACAACAGCUGUGUGUGUGUCUGUGAGGACAAAGAGGACCGACGUUGCGGCGGAAUUCAAAACUUUCUGUGCGCCCUCAGAUUCUCUCCCAGACAGGCUUCGAGUGAGAUUUACACAAG